rnacentral:rRNA from 1 species
CACCUACUGGAGGACCGAACCGGUGCCUGUUGAAAAAGUCUCGGAUGAGCUGUGGAUAGGGGUGAAAGGCCAAUCAAGGCUGGAAAUAGCUGGUUCUCCGCGAAAUCUAUUUAGGUAGAGCCUCGAGUGAAUACCCCAGGGGGUAGAGCACUGGAUGGGCUAGGGGCCCCCACAGGGUUACCAAACCUAACCAAACUCCGAAUACCUGGGAGUACUACUCGGGAGACACACGGCGGGUGCUAACGUCCGUCGUGAAAAGGGAAAAACCCUGACCGACAGCUAAGGUCCUCAAGUCAUGGCUAAGUGGGAAAGGAUGUGGAAAUCCCAAAACAACCAGGAGGUUGGCUUAGAAGCAGCCAUCCUUUAAAGAAAGCGUAACAGCUCACUGGUCUAAAUAAGGGUUUCUGCGCCG